rnacentral:rRNA from 1 species
GGGACACGUGGUAUCCUGUCUGAAUAUGGGGGGACCAUCCUCCAAGGCUAAAUACUCCUGACUGACCGAUAGUGAACCAGUACCGUGAGGGAAAGGCGAAAAGAACCCCGGCGAGGGGAGUGAAAAAGAACCUGAAACCGUGUACGUACAAGCAGUGGGAGCACAGGUUUACCUGUGUGACUGCGUACCUUUUGUAUAAUGGGUCAGCGACUUAUAUUCUGUAGCAAGGUUAACCGUAUAGGGGAGCCGGAGGGAAACCGAGUCUUAAUUGGGCGUUAAGUUGCAGGGUAUAGACCCGAAACCCGGUGAUCUAGCCAUGGGCAGGUUGAAGGUUGGGUAACACUAACUGGAGGACCGAACCGACUAAUGUUGAAAAAUUAGCGGAUGACCUGUGGCUGGGGGUGAAAGGCCAAUCAAACCGGGAGAUAGCUGGUUCUCCCCGAAAGCUAUUUAGGUAGCGCCUCGUGAAUUCAUCUCCGGGGGUAGAGCACUGUUUCGGCUAGGGGGCCAUCCCGGCUUACCAACCCGAUGCAAACUGCGAAUACCGGAGAAUGUUAUCACGGGAGACACACGGCGGGUGCUAACGUCCGUCGUGAAGAGGGAAACAACCCAGACCGCCAGCUAAGGUCCCAAAGUCAUGGUUAAGUGGGAAACGAUGUGGGAAGGCCCAGACAGCCAGGAUGUUGGCUUAGAAGCAGCCAUCAUUUAAAGAAAGCGUAAUAGCUCACUGGUCGAGUCGGCCUGCGCGGAAGAUGUAACGGGGCUAAACCAUGCACCGAAGCUGCGGCAGCGACGCUUAUGCGUUGUUGGGUAGGGGAGCGUUCUGUAAGCCUGUGAAGGUGGCCUGUGAGGGUUGCUGGAGGUAUCAGAAGUGCGAAUGCUGACAUAAGUAACGAUAAAGCGGGUGAAAAGCCCGCUCGCCGGAAGACCAAGGGUUCCUGUCCAACGUUAAUCGGGGCAGGGUGAGUCGACCCCUAAGGCGAGGCCGAAAGGCGUAGUCGAUGGGAAACGGGUUAAUAUUCCCGUACUUGGUGUUACUGCGAAGGGGGGACGGAGAAGGCUAUGUUGGCCGGGCGACGGUUGUCCCGGUUUAAGCGUGUAGGUGUGUGUUCCAGGUAAAUCCGGUUCACUUUAACACUGAGGCGUGAUGACGAGGCACUACGGUGCUGAAGCAACAAAUGCCCUGCUUCCAGGAAAAGCCUCUAAGCAUCAGGUAACAUCAAAUCGUACCCCAAACCGACACAGGUGGUCAGGUAGAGAAUACCAAGGCGCUUGAGAGAACUCGGGUGAAGGAACUAGGCAAAAUGGUGCCGUAACUUCGGGAGAAGGCACGCUGACACGUAGGUGAAGUGAUUUACUCAUGGAGCUGAAGUCAGUCGAAGAUACCAGCUGGCUGCAACUGUUUAUUAAAAACACAGCACUGUGCAAACACGAAAGUGGACGUAUACGGUGUGACGCCUGCCCGGUGCCGGAAGGUUAAUUGAUGGGGUCAGCGCAAGCGAAGCUCCUGAUCGAAGCCCCGGUAAACGGCGGCCGUAACUAUAACGGUCCUAAGGUAGCGAAAUUCCUUGUCGGGUAAGUUCCGACCUGCACGAAUGGCGUAAUGAUGGCCAGGCUGUCUCCACCCGAGACUCAGUGAAAUUGAACUCGCUGUGAAGAUGCAGUGUACCCGCGGCAAGACGGAAAGACCCCGUGAACCUUUACUAUAGCUUGACACUGAACAUUGAGCCUUGAUGUGUAG